GUGCUCACAUCAGCAGCACAUAUACUAAAAUUGAAAUUAUACAGAGGCUAUUAGACAGGAUCCUGCAUGGGGGGUGACACACAAAUUCACGAAGCACUCUCUAUAUUU